GCGUUAACUGGUUUACUAUUUUGUAUUUAAGCAGAAUUAGGAGUUAACUUCGGUUUAGUAUUUUGUAUUUAAUUACAAUUAGAAUUAGAAGUUAACUUUGGUCUAGCAUUUUGUAUCACAUCACACGCUUAAUAUCCUAGCAUUCAAAGUCUAUUUUCUCCUUCGCUUUGCUUAAAAUGCAUCAGACAUACUGUGAUUUGAUUUGAAUGAUUUGUUGGCGUACCAUUGUAUCUUGCAAUUUAAUUAUUUUGGUAACAAUUUCUACAUCCCAUCAAAUUUAUUGACACCACACAUAGUCACAUAAUUCGCUCAUACCUCUGAGUAACGAGAACCACUUCCCAAGAACUGAUGUGUGUUUCUUCUGCUUUCUGAAACACGGUGGGUUGCGAACCAGUAUGGUAAGACAUGACUCAGAAGCAGAACACAAAACACAAAGAAGAGAAAGAGCAAAAGCAUAAUAGGAGGUGAUUAACAAGAAGUGGCUCCCUUUGAAGUACGGAUUCGUCAAACACCCUCACGUGUCGGUGUCUGACACGGAUAGGGUCCCGAUUAGUUCUCAUCAACAUCAACGCUCGUCGGGUGUAUAUAUAUUAACUAAUAUCUUCCCUUCUUCAACGCGCUUUCCCCUUAUUCCAAUUUGUCUCCUUUCUCUGUCAGAGAUAGAUCUAUUCUCUAUUUCUCUUCUAUGGAUUAAUUCUCAUAUUCAAAAUCUGCUUUUCCAAAAAAAUCCAGUAAAUCUCCUCCGGUAGAACGCCGUUUUGAUCGCCACCGCGAGAAUUUUCGUUUGUUUCGUUUUUUAAUUGAUUAGGGUUUCAAAGAGCACAGAACAAUGCCUUUGCUCCCCUUUGAAUUGAUGCUACUCCAUUUGAUUCCGUCGUUGGUCAUAUUCCAUGGUGGAUCCUCUAUACGUUUGAAAAAUCUUGAAAAGAGUGAUCGUCGUGGUAAUCUUAGUUAACAUUUAACCUUCUCUUUCUGUCGUUUCUUUCGCGUUUUUUUUGUCGUUUCGUUUUGAGGUUCUCUUUUAGGGGAAUAUCAGUUUGGUUUAUUUCUUAUCGUUUCGCGGGAAUUCGUUGAGAUUUUGGUCUUCCAAGGUUGUGAAAAGCAUUGUUUUGAGAGAAUUGCACCUUUCAACGACGUCGUUUAAGGUAAUAAUAGGUGAUUCAUAAAAUUUUGUUGUUGUUAUGUCCAAUUUUUUUUUAAUUUACUAUGUUUCGAGAUUUAUUUCCAGUAUGUAAUUAGAAUUAGGCGUUAGCUUUGGUUUACUAUUUUGUGUUUAAUUAGAAUUAGGCGUUAACUGGUUUACUAUUUUGUAUUUAAGCAGAAUUAGGAGUUAACUUCGGUUUAGUAUUUUGUAUUUAAUUACAAUUAGAAUUAGAAGUUAACUUUGGUCUAGCAUUUUGUAUCACAUCACACGCUUAAUAUCCUAGCAUUCAAAGUCUAUUUUCUCCUUCGCUUUGCUUAAAAUGCAUCAGACAUACUGUGAUUUGAUUUGAAUGAUUUGUUGGCGUACCAUUGUAUCUUGCAAUUUAAUUAUUUUGGUAACAAUUUCUACAUCCCAUCAAAUUUAUUGACACCACACAUAGUCACAUAAUUCGCUCAUACCUCUGAGUAACGAGAACCACUUCCCAAGAACUGAUGUGUGUUUCUUCUGCUUUCUGAAACACGGUGGGUUGCGAACCAGUAUGGUAAGACAUGACUCAGAAGCAGAACACAAAACACAAAGAAGAGAAAGAGCAAAAGCAUAAUAGGAGGUGAUUAACAAGAAGUGGCUCCCUUUGAAGUACGGAUUCGUCAAACACCCUCACGUGUCGGUGUCUGACACGGAUAGGCUCGGAUUCGCGAAGGAUACGUAUCCAUAAAGUAUCCAAAAAUUAAAAAAAUAAAAUAAAAUAAAUAAAUAUUAAGACACGUAUCCCAUUCGUUUUCAAUAAAAUAUAGGAUAUAUGGAUUCAUUUUCAGUAAAGUAUAGGAUAUAUAGAUUCGUUUCCAAUAAAACAGGAUAAGAUAGAUUCGUUUUCAAUAAAACAGGAUAAUAUAGAUUCGUUUUCAUUAAAAUAGGAUAAGAUAGAUUUGUUAUGGAAGGCAAUGAUUUUAAAUUUUCAUUAUAUUUUUUACUUUAGAUAUUUUGAUUUACACUUAUAAUUUUAUAAUAUUUUAUAUGGUUUUAUAAUUUUAUACGCGUAUUCCUGAACGUAUCGUAUCCUAUAUUUUAGAAAAACUGCAUGUCGACGGAUACGUAUUGUAUCCAACAGGUGGCUCCUGCCCCAAUAUGAGUGGAGAAGAAUGAAAACCCUCAUCUAAAAUAGACCUUUUUAAUAGAUGUGGGCUUAUUUAACAAUACAAAAGGUGUCUUGUUAGUUAGAAAUGCGUGGAGUUUUAUCAUUUAAAAAUACAUAUAGGUGUAUUUUAAAUUUCUUUAGUUUAACCUAUUUAAUUAUUCAUAAAAAAACAUAAAUAAGUUUAAAAAAUUAAAGUGUAUCCACUAAAAUUCAAAAUACAUCACUUAAGUAUAAUCCCGUGUACUGUAUAUUUGAUAGGGUACCCGUACCGAAGAGAUCCAUGUAUUAUGUUACCAUGUUCCAUACCAAGCCACUUUCUUCUUAAAGUAGGAUUACAAUGCUUUGCUUUAGUACUUUCAUUUAAAUGACACCGCAUUUCCAUCUUUUAUAAUUUGAAGUGUGUUGCUUUUUAGAUAACAUUGAAUCUUUUAGGCUAUGUAUACAGUUUAUUUUAAUUCUAUAUUUAGAACUUCCAUCAUGUUAUGUUAUGUACCAAC
rnacentral:lncRNA from 1 species